UCAGGAUGAACGCUGGCGGCGUGCCUAACACAUGCAAGUCGAACGAAGCACUUCCGGUUGAGAUUCGUCAAGAACUGGAUUUGACUUAGUGGCGGACGGGUGAGUAAUGUAUGAGCAACCUGCCUUUCAGAGGGGGACAACAGUUGGAAACGACUGCUAAUACCGCAUAAUGUAUUGAGGAGGCAUCUCCACGAUACCAAAGGAGCAAUCCGCUGAAAGAUGGGCUCAUAUCUGAUUAGUUAGUUGGCAGGGUAACGGCCUACCAAGACUGCGAUCAGUAGCCGGACUGAGAGGUUGAACGGCCACAUUGGGACUGAGAUACGGCCCAGACUCCUACGGGAGGCAGCAGUGGGGAAUAUUGGGCAAUGGGCGAAAGCCUGACCCAAGCAACGCCGCGUGAAGGAAGAUGGUCUUCGGAUUGUAAACUUCUUUUAUGAGGGACGGAGGACGUGACGGUACCUCAUGAAUAAGCCACGGCUAACUACGUGCCAGCAGCGGC
rnacentral:rRNA from 1 species